GCGCUAGCCCACGCUGCUGAUCUGCGCGCAACACCACGGUGAGGCCAUGGACCACGCCGCCUCUAGAAUCGAAGGGGUCAAAGGAGAGAGAACCAUCGUUCCCCAUUUGGUUCCUCUACCUGCUCUCGAUCUCCUCCGAUUGAUGCCGCUUCCACCAAUAUAUUCGUCGAAUACGCGGGAGGAAUUGGAUGACGAAGUUACCACCCAGGAGCAGGGGAGGGCGUCCUUGUUGUUCCUCGUCGUCGGCAUCUCCGUUCCCACGCCGCACCAUCGCCGCCAACGCGCCGGCCGACGACCGGCAGACCCUUGCCCCGCCGCAAAGGUUUCUGUUGACUCCUGCCCGGGAGGAGUUGGUGGCCCGCACCUUCUCCCACGUCACGGCCGCCUCCCAUCUGCGACACCCUCACCAGUGAGGGGAGCAGGGCCAGCAGCGCGGUUCCCCUGGAGAAAAACUCCAAGCGCCAGUUCCGGCAUGAGCGCAAGCAGGUAAUCUGUAGUAGAUAAGGUGAGCUGCUUUGCUCUAAUGCCCCAACAUUAUGCAGAUGUGCGUGGUGCAUUCCAGGUGCUUGUGGUAAUUCCUACAUGUAGUUUCUCUUAACUUGGAUGGCACUGUUGGUUACCGUCUGCGGUGCAUGUUGAUCCAUCGCUGGUUGUGUAUGAUGACAAAAAUAAAACAAGGGAUCAAUCAUGGGAUUGUGUAUUCCGGUGACCAUGAAGCAAUGGUUGCAGAAACUCUUUACUCCUGCAACUGCAAGUACAUACAGAUAUGCUCCUCCCCCUUCCCUGUCUUUUCUUGUUUAAUUAGCGUGAAACCCAUCUCAUUGCAAUAUAUUACAGAAUAUAUGUCAUCACUGCUUGAUAUUGUUUCCUGUUUUGAUCGUGGCGCCCAUCGCGAUUGGUUCCUGAAAUUUUGAUUUAUUGGUAGUGUGAUAAAUAUUUUGUAUAGGGAUUCAGGUUAAGCUGAUGUAUUCGUGCAUUGAACAUACAUGAAUCUGCUCGUGUUACUUGCAAACUUAUUUAUUGGAUAGAAGCAUAGCAGUAUACAUGGGAGUACAGAUUAUAGAGCACCUUGACUGAAUCUUGUCCUAGCUACCUCGACGGCACAUUUUCACCACUGCAGAUGUCAAGCUUUUCUAGCAACAACCAUGUCACAGUACUCGUAUACUCCUAUAUGUAGUUAACUAGUAAUUCUUAUUCCUGUACAAAAUAGGAAUAGAAGAGACACCGCUAACAGUAAUUUCUAUAAUGAUUAUGUAAUUUCUAUAAUUUCAAUAAGUGGUCAGGAAAGGAAAUAGUAUCUAUCUGGCCAACUCUGAUGCUAUUGAAAGGCUAAAGCUUAGCGCUGGUGAUAAUCACAGUUAUUACAUUUCUGAAAGUGAACUGCAGAUACAUGUUGUGCCAAUUCCGAUCUGGCCAAGAUAUGCGGUACACUUUCAAGUAAUAGGGCCCCAACUUCACACCAAUCAUGAUAUUUUAGGGGAAACUGAAAUAUAAAAAGUCUGGACUUGUAAUAUAGAAUCAAGGACAAAAAAUCUCAUACCAGUCUUUGACGUUCUUAGCACAUCUAGGUAUCAACAGACAAGAUAAUCAAUACAAGAUUUACCUCUUGGUGUUGUCCUACUUUCAGUUUUUAAAAAUACUCCUAAAUCAGUACAAGAUCCUUACUCCUCAUUGGCUGGGCUGUUUUUCAUUAAACAAUAAACAGUUAGUGCAUGUAUGUAUAUCCGCAAUAUAUGGGCAAUCUGGAAAGUAAGGAAUGAUGCCUAUUUCAGUGGAGUGUCCUCGGCUAUGCGACAAAGCUUCGCGAGUUCUAUAGAAGGCAACGCUGGGACGAUGGUGCUCAAUAUGGAGGUGAUACAAUGAGUAGAAGGUGUGGAAGUGUUGGGAUGUUGGUGUCUUUUGGUUCGCAAGUAGAUGUAGAUGAUGCAGCAAGUAGAAGACGUGGAAGUGUUGGGUGUUUGAUUUCUUUUGGUUCGCUUGUAGUUGUCGUAGAGUUUUUCCCGCUUACAUUCAAAUUUUGUGUAUCUGAUCUUCAACCUUGGUUGCUUUGAAGUGACAUGUUCCCUAUAAUACACUUUGCAUUGUGCUUUGUUUGAAUUUAAUAUGAGGUUCUACUACGUACUGAA